GGGGUUGUGGCUCAGUGGUAAAGCACUCACCUGGCAUGCGUGUGGCCUGGGUUCGAUCCUCAGCACCA
rnacentral:tRNA from 1 species